AUUGAACGCUGGCGGCGUGCCUAACACAUGCAAGUCGAGCGGUAACGCGGGAGCAAUCCUGGCGACGAGCGGCGAACGGGUGAGUAAUGCUUCGGAAUCUGCCCAAUAGUGGGGAAUAACCAGCCGAAAGGUUGGCUAAUACCGCAUACGCCCUAACGGGGAAAGCAGGGGAUCGUAAGACCUUGCGCUAAUGGAUGAGCCGAAGUCGGAUUAGCUAGUUGGUAGGGUAAUGGCCUACCAAGGCGACAAUCCGUAGCUGGUCUGAGAGGACGACCAGCCACACUGGGACUGAGACACGGCCCAGACUCCUACGGGAGGCAGCAGUGGGGAAUAUUGGACAAUGGGGGAAACCCUGAUCCAGCGACGCCGCGUGUGUGAAGAAGGCCUGCGGGUUGUAAAGCACUUUUAGUGGGGAUGAAAAGCUCAGGGCUAAUACCUCUGGGUCUUGACCUAACCCACAGAAAAAGCACCGGCUAACUCUGUGCCAGCCGCCGCAGUAAGAC
rnacentral:rRNA from 1 species